GGGUCAGGAGGUUGGUCGUGCCUCCGGUACGUACUGGUCUCACUGAUUCCUCCUUCCUGAAGAACCGUAAUGCCAUUAAUUUGGUGUUGCGGGGAAACAGGACUGUUACUUUGAAAAAAUUAGAGUGUUUAAAGCAAGCUAACGCUUGAAUACAUUAGCAUGGAAUAAUGAAAUAGGACGAUCGAUCCUAUUUUGUUGGUUUCUAGGAUUGACGUA
rnacentral:rRNA from 1 species